AAAUCUCUCUCUCUUUCUCUCUGUCACACUCUUUAUCACUCUCUGCUCUCACAGAUCGGAGAAUCUCCUCUGAGAGCUCUAAUCUCUCAGCUUUCUUCACCGGCGUCUCCGG
rnacentral:sRNA from 1 species